AUGCCAUCCCCAUCAGAGGAUUUAGGAGCCGCAUGCAUACGUACCCGUGCCACCGGACGGGAGCUGAGAUCCAGUUCCAGGACAUCGGAGAGACAGAGAGAAGAGAGAGCACGGAAGAAGCAGAGGUGGAUGAAGAGAUCGCCACCCCUCCUGCAUGGGACAGCAGCUGAAAACUCAUGCACACAUGCGAGCGCCGCCAAGAGGCAGGCACACGCCAACAUCAUGAGGACUCGAGGAAGGGGGCCGAGGGAUCCCCUUAUUCCAUCUCACGACGGCAUCACUCUCGCCUGGCCACCACCGAUUGUAAACCUACUCCUAUAG
rnacentral:rRNA from 1 species